GCUUUAAUGGUUGGUGAUUGGCCAGCAGUUUGCAAAACCUUCAAAGUUUCGAUUUGAAGGAUUCAAGCUAAAGCAAAAGUAUCAUCAGGUUGCAAACGUUGGAGGAGGAGAUUUCAAUGCUUCCCACGGUACGACAUUAAUUCCUGCGGAAAUGACUUAACAGGGUUGAGAUAAUGUAGUCGAUGACUACUUGUGCCUAGAUUCUUCAAUGGGCCACUAGAAAUCUGAAUGGGCAUCCACGUGUUCGUGCAGACACGAAAGUUCACUUGAAGAGGUUCUGAUAUCUUAUAAAUCACACGGUAGACCAGCAGGCUUUCCGUCCUAUACGAAGGCGUAGACUCAAGAUGAUCACGUGUAGGAGAUGAAUGCAUGUGCUCGCAAAGGGAAGCUGCGAUGGAAAAAGAAGCGCAGGAAAAAAAGGGGAGAUAGGAAGGAAAGAGAGGGAAGAAGGGCGCGUGUCGGUCGCGUGCCCGUUGCGGCUGGUGACUCUGUGUCUGCGACCCUCCUAUCCUUUAACCCCUCCUACAGCUUUUCCACGGACAAAUUUCUAAGUGGGGGACACCAUCACCGGAGUGCAUCUUGUGUUGUGUAAGUGGAGCUGAUGAUUGCUUUUUGAUUGAGGUGUGACAACGGAACCAAUUUUAAACAAAUUUUUGUCAUUGACAAACCGAUCGAAAGCAUAGAGAGUACAGAGGAAGAAUUCCAUGAAUCCAUCAGUGAACUGUUCAGGACUACGACCUCAGCCCCCUCAUCGUCUAGUCCACUUCCUCUUCUUCCGUCCCCUUCAUUUUUUCAUCUCCUCCUUGAAGCCGUCUGGACGAUGGAAAUUGAAGAAAGAGAAUCAACCAGGGAGGAUCAGGGUGACACACACGUGGUCUGUACACAAGGCAAUAGAGGAACCACCUACUGCAACGGGAGAUGUAUCCAUUCGGAAAGCAGACGUUUUAUCGAAUAAAGGUAAAAUGAUGUCAGCGAUAAAAUAACGGUCCGUUUCGGGAGGGGUUUUUG